UAGCCUAGUGGUUAAGGCUACGGACGCCAAUCCGGAGACGGCGGGUUCGAUUCCCGU
rnacentral:tRNA from 1 species